rnacentral:rRNA from 1 species
AGAGUUUGAUCAUGGCUCAGAACGAACGCUGGCGGCAUGCCUAACACAUGCAAGUCGAACGUGAUCCAGGCUUCGGUCUGGUGAAAGUGGCAGACGGGUGAGUAACGCGUGGGAACCUGCCCUGUGGUUGGGAAUAACUGCGGGAAACUGCGGCUAAUACCCUAUGUGUCCUGAGGGAGAAAGAUUUAUCGCCAUAGGAGGGGCCCGCGUCGGAUUAGGUAGUUGGUGGGGUAACGGCCUACCAAGCCAUCGAUCCGUAGCUGGUCUGAGAGGAUGAUCAGCCACACUGGGACUGAGAUACGGCCCAGACUCCUACGGGAGGCAGCAGUGGGGAAUAUUGGACAAUGGGGGCAACCCUGAUCCAGCAAUGCCGCGUGGGUGAUGAAGGCCUUCGGGUUGUAAAGCCCUUUCGGCGGGGAAGAUGAUGACGGUACCCGCAGAAGAAGCCCCGGCUAACUUCGUGCCAGCAGCCGCGGUAAUACGAAGGGGGGCUAGCGUUGUUCGGAAUUACUGGGCGUAAAGGGCGCGUAGGCUGUGCUGCAAGUCAGGCGUGAAAGGCCCGGGCUCAACCUGGGAACUGCGCAUGAUACUGCGGCGCUUGAAGGCGGGAGAGGAUGGCGGAAUUCCCAGUGUAGAGGUGAAAUUCGUAGAUAUUGGGAAGAACACCGGUGGCGAAGGCGGCCAUCUGGCCCGUGAUUGACGCUGAGGCGCGAAAGCGUGGGGAGCAAACAGGAUUAGAUACCCCCGUAGUCC